rnacentral:piRNA from 1 species
UUUAGUGUUGAUAUUUGAUGU